GGCCGUCUAGCUCAGUUGGUUAGAGCGUCGUGCUAAUAUCAUAAGCACCCCACAUAUUACGCGAAGGUCUUGGGUUCGCCACGAUGGCCA